UGGCGAACGGGUGAGUAACGCGUGGGUAACCUGCCUCAUACAGGGGGACAACAGUUAGAAAUGACUGCUAAUACCGCAUAAGACCACAGCACCGCAUGGUGCAGGGGUAAAAACUCCGGUGGUAUGAGAUGGACCCGCGUCUGAUUAGGUAGUUGGUGGGGUAACGGCCUACCAAGCCGACGAUCAGUAGCCGACCUGAGAGGGUGACCGGCCACAUUGGGACUGAGACACGGCCCAA
rnacentral:rRNA from 1 species